CCUACGGGUCGCACCAGUGGGGAAUAUUGCACAAUGGGCGCAAGCCUGAUGCAGCCAUGCCGCGUGUAUGAAGAAGGCCUUCGGGUUGUAAAGUACUUUCAGCGAGGAGGAAGGCAUUAAGGUUAAUAACCUUGGUGAUUGACGUUACUCGCAGAAGAAGCACCGGCUAACUCCGUGCCAGCAGCCGCGGUAAUACGGAGGGUGCAAGCGUUAAUCGGAAUUACUGGGCGUAAAGCGCACGCAGGCGGUCUGUCAAGUCGGAUGUGAAAUCCCCGGGCUUAACCUGGGAAUGGCAUCUAAGACUGGUCAGCUAGAGUCUUGUAGAGGGGGGUAGAAUUCCAUGUGUAGCGGUGAAAUGCGUAGAGAUGUGGAGGAAUACCGGUGGCGAAGGCGGCCCCCUGGACAAAGACUGACGCUCAGGUGCGAAAGCGUGGGGAGCAAACAGGAUUAGAUACCCGGGUAGU
rnacentral:rRNA from 1 species